UACAGAGGUGGCGAGCGUUGUUCGGAUUUACUGGGCGUAAAGGGUGCGUAGGCGGUUCCGCGUGUCGGAUGUGAAAUCUGGAGGCUCACCCUCCAAAGUGCAUUCGAAACUGCGAAACUCGAGUACAGGAGAGGAGAGCGGAAUUCUUGGUGUAGCGGUGAAAUGCGUUGAGAUCAAGAAGAACACCAGUGGCGAAGGCGGCUCUCUGGAAUGAAACUGACGCUGAGGCACGAAAGUUGGGGGAGCAAACAGGAUUAGAUACC
rnacentral:rRNA from 1 species